rnacentral:lncRNA from 1 species
ACUUGCUUCAUAGUAGGGGACUCAACUACCAUUACUUGAAGGGCCUGUCGUCUACCUCCAGUUAGUGCGAGAUGGAAGAAAACAUGGAGUGGGCCCGGGGAAAGCUGUGCCUGAUUCAUUCAUCCCGGGGACAGGCCUCUCUGACGUGCUCUCUCUGGCAGUCUGAUCCUGAAGAACAAGUGUGUCACCACCUCCUUGAAAGGACAUCAGACAGCAAAUGGGAGAAUCCACAAGGAGGGAAGGAGAGGCCACAUAGAGAGGUGAGUUCUGAAUUGGGCCCGAACAGGGAACAGAGAACUCUCCCUGGUCAGGUGCAGGCCUUAAAGCUGCCUGCAGCCACUC